GACGAACGCUGGCGGCGUGCUUAACACAUGCAAGUCGAACGGAAAGGCCCUGCUUUUGUGGGGUGCUCGAGUGGCGAACGGGUGAGUAACACGUGAGUAACCUGCCCUUGACUUUGGGAUAACUUCAGGAAACUGGGGCUAAUACCGGAUAGUAGUUCCUGCGCCAUGGUGGGGGUUGGAAAGUUUCGGCGGUUGGGGAUGGACUCGCGGCUGAUCAGCUUGUUGGUGGGGUAGUGGCUUACCAAGGCUUUGACGGGUAGCCGGCCUGAGAGGGUGACCGGCCACAUUGGGACUGAGAUACGGCCCAGACUGCUACGGGAGGCAGCAGGGGGGAAUAGUGCACAAGGGGCGGAAGCAUGAUGCAGCAACGCCGCGUGCGGGAUGACGGCCUUCGGGUUGUAAACCGCUUUCGCCUGUGACGAAGCGUGAGUGACGGUAAUGGGUAAAGAAGCACCGGCUAACUACGUG
rnacentral:rRNA from 1 species